rnacentral:rRNA from 1 species
AGAGUUUGAUCAUGGCUCAGAACGUACGCUGGCGGCACGCCUAACACAUGCAAGUCGAACGAAGUAGCAAUACUUAGUGGCAGACGGGUGAGUAACAUGUAGGUAUCUGCCCUUUGGCCUGGAAUAACACGAGGAAACUUGUGCUAAUACCGGAUAAGUCUUUACGGAGAAAGCUUUAUGCACCAUUGGAUGAGCCUGCACUUGAUUAGUUUGUUGGUGGGGUAAUGGCCUACCAAGACCGUGAUCAAUAGCUGAUUUGAGAGGAUGAUCAGCCACAUUGGGACUGAGACACGGCCCAAACUCCUACGGGAGGCAGCAGUGGGGAAUCUUGCACAAUGGAGGAAACUCUGAUGCAGCGAUGCCGCGUGAGUGAAGAAGGCCUUUGGGUUGUAAAGCUCUUUCGUCGGGGAAGAAAAUGACUGUACCCGAAUAAGAAGGUCCGGCUAACUUCGUGCCAGCAGCCGCGGUAAUACGAAGGGACCUAGCGUAGUUCGGAAUUACUGGGCUUAAAGAGUUCGUAGGUGGUUGAAAAAGUUGGUGGUGAAAUCCCAGAGCUUAACUCUGGAACUGCCAUCAAAACUUUUCAGCUAGAGUAUGAUAGAGGAAAGCAGGAUUUCUAGUGUAGAGGUGAAAUUCGUAGAUAUUAGAAAGAAUACCAAUUGCGAAGGCAGCUUUCUGGAUCAUUACUGACGCUGAGGAACGAAAGCAUGGGUAGCGAAGAGGAUUAGAUACCCUCGUAGUCCAUGCCGUAAACGAUGUGUGUUAGACGUUGGAAAUUUAUUUUCAGUGUCGCAGCGAAAGCGAUAAACACACCGCCUGGGGAGUACGACCGCAAGGUUAAAACUCAAAUGAAUUGACGGGGACCCGCACAAGUAGUGGAGCAUGUGGUUUAAUUCGAAGAUACGCGCAGAACCUUACCAACACUUGACAUGUUCGUCGCGACUUUAAGAGAUUAAAGUUUUUGGUUCGGCCGGACGAAACACAGGUGCUGCAUGGCUGUCGUCAGCUCGUGUCGUGAGAUGUUGGGUUAAGUCCCGCAACGAGCGCAACCCUCACUUUUAGUUGCCAUCAUUAAGUUGGGCACUCUGAAAGAACUGCCAGUGAUAAGCUGGAGGAAGGUGGGGAUGACGUCAAGUCCUCAUGGCCCUUACGUGUUGGGCUACACACGUGCUACAAUGGUAUCUACAACAGGAAGCAAAACCGCGAGGUUAAGCAAAUCCUUAAAAGAUACCUCAGUUCGGAUUGCACUCUGCAACUCGAGUGCAUGAAGCUGGAAUUACUAGUAAUCGUGGAUCAGCGUGCCACGGUGAAUGCGUUCCC